AUUGAACGCUGGCGGCAGGCCUAACACAUGCAAGUCGAACGAGUGGCGGACGGGUGAGUAAUGUCUGGGAAACUGCCCGAUGGAGGGGGAUAACUACUGGAAACGGUAGCUAAUACCGCAUACCAUCGGAUGUGCCAAGAUGGGAUUAGCUAGUAGGGGGGGGAACGGCUCACCUCGGCGACGAUCCCUACCUGGUCUGAGAGGGUGACCCGCCACACUGGUACUGAGACACGGGCCAGACCCCUACGGGAGGCAGCAGUGGGGAAUAUUGCACAAUGGGCGCAAGCCUGAUGCAGCCAUGCCGCGGGUAUGAAGAAGGCCUUCGGGUUGUAAAGUACUUUCAGCGAGUAGGCGUUACUCGCAGAAGAAGCACCGGCUAACUCCGUGCCAGCAGCCGCGGUAAUAC
rnacentral:rRNA from 1 species